UACGUAGGGGGCAAGCGUUGUCCGGAUUCAUUGGGCGUAAAGAGCGUGUAGGCGGCCAGGUAGGUCGGUUGUGAAAACUGGAGGCUCAACCUUCAGAGGUCGACCGAAACCAUCUGGCUAGAGUCCGGGAGAGGAGAGUGGAAUUCCUGGUGUAGCGGUGAAAUGCGCAGAUAUCAAGAGGAACACCUGAGGUGAAGACGGGUUGCUGGGCUGACACUGACGCUGAGGCGCGAAAGCCAGGGGAGCAAACGGG
rnacentral:rRNA from 1 species